UAGGUGGGUCUAAAAUGGAGGUUGUUGAGGGAAAACGACUCUGAUGCGGCUAGGUAGGCGGUAACUGCUGAUAAUCACAUGGCUACCGGCUACCGGCGAAAAUAACGGAGGAAAUCUGGACGAGACACGAGCAGAUAAAAUGGUGUGAAGUCCAGCCAAGGUCUAACACCCUGGACCUAUUCUUGUUCCUUGUGGAAAUUCUGGUACGAGAGAGGAGUUAGAGACUGGUGAGAUGCCAAGAGAGACAGAAGAGGAGUGAGAGUGUUUCCCCUGCUUUUCCCUGCAGAUCUGAACCCUGCACCCUUGUAUAUAGCACUUCUCCACUGUUGCACAUUUCACCUGGUGUUUGCAAAUAAAG